rnacentral:lncRNA from 1 species
AAAAUGCUCCAGCUUCGGCAGGGAACUUGAUAGCACAGGGAGCUUCCUACAGAGCAUUUCCUCUCCUGGCAACAGAUGAGAAGUGCACGUACAAUGAAAGCCUGCAGUUCAGCCAACAUGGUGUUAUUUGUACUGUGGUAGCCAAACUUGGUGUUUGCCCUGAAGAGAGUGGCUGAGUUUUCUCUGAGCAACUGAGGGACAGAGAGGUGUUCAGUGCCGAAGGCAAUAUUGUAUGGAGAGGGUUCUUUGCCCACCAAAGAGAAUUCUUUCUUUUCAGACUUCAAAG